ACAGUGCGCUGCGGCCUGGGGCUGGAAAUGCCCCGCUCCCCCGCUGUGAGGCCGGAAGGUGCGUUUGCAUCACCCGCAGCCAGGCGGGUGGCUGUGGGUCCUCCGUGGCCCAGCGUCGUGCGGUCAACAGCACGCUGCUGGAUCGCCGCCGCCAGCCUGGGUCGGUGCCUUCAGCUUCGAGGCGUGCAUGAUACGUAGAGCCAUUCAGCUUGCUGUUUGGGGAUGGUUCUCUAGGAAAAGGUCUAGCAUUUCUGUUUUCCACCGAGAUGAAGAAUUUUCCAACAAGAACUUGAGUUCUUCCAACAUUGUGAGCAAAUGGACAGGAGUGUGGACAGGAGAGAGCAAUGACUGUAGGAGACCAUUGGAUCAUUCUGCAACGAGAUUGAAAAGCAAGAUCAAGCCGUGGGCUCACAUCAGACUUGGAAAUCUCCUUUAAUUCCUAUUUGGAAAAUAUUCAGUUUGCCUAAUGAGUGUGUUUAAAGAAAGGGCGGUCUCUAAGCUGCUGGGCACCAAGACUCUGCGGUCACAUCCGGAUGUUCUGCUGGGCAAGGCACUGCAUAGCUUGCCCUGUAACUACUGCAAAGCAAGUUUAAUUCCACUCACAGAAAACCCAGCCGUGUUUUAUGUGAGGCCAUUUUGUGGAUAAAGAAAUGGGCUCUUCCUGGAUGCAGUGAGUUUUUGAGGCAGGUGCAGAUGA
rnacentral:lncRNA from 1 species